GUGAGCCUCCAUAACCAUCAAAAUCACAGGGUUGGGAUGUACCCUAUGGAUAUACUUGCACAAGAACACAGUUGCAAUUUGUCAUGGCAAAAGCCUGCAAGCCACCAUCACUAAGGAACUGGCUGUUUACAUCCUGCUCUGUGUCCACCAUGGAACGCCACACAGCCUUGAAAAAGGAGGGUGCUCUCUACGUACUGAUAUCAUCAAGAUCUACUGUUGCUGAAAAUCACAAGGCACAGAACUAGUGUGUAGAGUCCUCUGAUAUCUGUAAGAAAGCAAAGCAAAUACAUGCUUUUGCCCACAUGUUCACAGAACCCUUCUGAAAAGCAACACAAAAGACUGUCACAGUGAGGAGCUGAGAGGGUGAAGACAAAUGUAAGAGGGAGACUGGCUUUUCACUGCACGCUUGUUGUACCUUUGGUAUUUGGUGCCACAUGGUAUUAUCUAUGGACAAAAUGAGUUAAAGUUAUACACGAUGCGCAAGUGCUCCAUUUGUGGAUAUAGGAAAAUGCUUGUGAUAAAGUAUUGAGAGAAAAGAAGAUGGCCUAAUUUAUAUAAUGCAUGAUUCACAUAUAUCCAUGAGCUGUCUCUGUAAGUAUAUCCCACAUAUAUCUGUAACUAUAGAGAGAAAUGUCUAAAAAUACUAUCAGCAAAUUAGCAAAUGAAGUUGCUACUAUUCACGCACUAAAUGCAUUGAUUCAUUUCCUGACAACAACAGGGCAAGGUGGACAGACUGCUAUUAUCCUCAUCGCACAGAUGAGGAAACAGAGGCUCUAGAAGUGAAGUUACCUGACCAAGGGCUCACAGCCAAGGGGAGGCAGAGCUGGGAUUUGAACCUCAACCACAGGACUAGAGAUGCCUCUCAAUUGCAAAUUGGGUAGUGUCUCUUUUUGCUUUGAAUUUUCAGCAUUCUUAAAAGUUGAGCCAAUGAACCCAAGUCUCUCUCUCCUUCUACUGCCACUUUACUUUUAAACAAGACUUUUCAGAAAAAACCCUAAGAACAUCCCAUGUCCCCCAAGUCAGCAGCCCCCGUUUCCUGGCACUCACAUCCCCAGGGAAUUCCCCUGGCAGUUCCUGGUAUAGGAAACCAUGAGAGUGGUUUUUAAAAAAAGUCAAGCAAUGCAGUGAGCCGGGAUCGCACCACUGCACUCCAGCCUGGGCAACAGAGCGAGACUCCGUCUCAAAAAAAAAAAAAAAAAAAAGGAGUCAAGCAAGAGCCGGGAGAAUGUUCCAUGUCCCAGAUAAAAGGACACUAAAGAGAUGUGCCACCAAAGGCAGGGCCUAACCCUUGGUACCAGGAAAAAUAAAGAAAAAAAACAGAUGAAAAAUGGUUAUAAAGGGCACUUUGGAGCAGUCCAAGUCAUUUGAACAUGGCCUGGAGACUAGGUAAUGUAAUUGAAUCAAUGCUAAAUUUCUCAGGAGUGAUCUUGGCACUAUGGUUACGUGGGAGAACACUCUUGUCCUUCGG
rnacentral:lncRNA from 1 species